UACCUGCAGCUCGAGUGGUAACCGCUAUUAUUGGGCCUAAAGCGUCCGUAGCCGGUUUGGUAAAUAUCUGGGUAAAUCGUGAGGCUUAACUUCACGAAUUUCGGAUAGACUGCCAGACUUGGGAUCGGGGGAGGUCAGAGGUACUCCAGGGGUAGCGAUGAAAUGUUGUAAUCCUUGGAGGACCACCGGUAGCGAAGGCGUCUGACUAGAACGAGUCCGACGGUGGGGGACGAAGCCCUGGGGCGCAAACCGGAUUAGAUACCCGGGUAGUCCAGGGUGUAAACAAUGUGGGCUUUGUAUUGGAGGUCCCACGUGGGCGUCCAGUGCAGAAGAGAAGUUGUUAAGCCCACCGCCUGGGAAGUACGGUCGCAAGGCUGAAACUUAAAGGAAUUGGCGGGGAGCACAGCAACGGGAGGAGCGUGCGGUUU
rnacentral:rRNA from 1 species